rnacentral:rRNA from 1 species
AUACGGAGGGGGCUAGCGUUGUUCGGAAUUACUGGGCGUAAAGCGCGCGUAGGCGGUCCGCGUAGUCAGGCGUGAAAGCCCCGGGCUCAACCUGGGAACUGCGUUUGAUACUGGCGGACUAGAGUUCGGGAGAGGGUAGUGGAAUUCCCAGUGUAGAGGUGAAAUUCGUAGAUAUUGGGAAGAACACCGGUGGCGAAGGCGGCUACCUGGACCGGACCUGACGCUGAGGUGCGAAAGCGUGGGGAGCAAACAGGAUUAGAAACCCGGGUAGUCC